rnacentral:rRNA from 1 species
CCUACGGGUGGCAGCAGUGAGGAAUAUUGGUCAAUGGACGCAAGUCUGAACCAGCCAUGCCGCGUGCAGGAAGACGGCCCUAUGAGUUGUAAACUGCUUUUGUACGGGGGUAAACGCAGAUACGCGUAUCUGUCUGAAAGUAUCGUACGAAUAAGGCUCGGCUAACUCCGUGCCAGCAGCCGCGGUAAUACGGAGGAUGCAAGCGUUAUCCGGAUUUAUUGGGUUUAAAGGGUGCGUAGGCGGUCGGAUAAGUUAGAGGUGAAAUCCCGAGGCUCAACUUCGGAAUUGCCUUUGAUACUGUUCGGCUAGAGAGCAGGUGCGGUAGGCGGAAUUUAUGGUGUAGCGGUGAAAUGCGUAGAUAUCAGACAGAACACCGAUUGCGAAGGCAGCCUACCAGGCUACUUCUGACGUUGAGGCACGAAAGCGUGGGGAGCAAACAGGAUUAGAUACCCGAGUAGUC